GACGAACGCUGGCGGCGUGCUUAACACAUGCAAGUCGAACGGAAAGGCCCUGCUUUUGUGGGGUGCUCGAGUGGCGAACGGGUGAGUAACACGUGAGUAACCUGCCCUUGACUUUGGGAUAACUUCAGGAAACUGGGGCUAAUACCGGAUAGGAGCUCCUGCUGCAUGGUGGGGGUUGGAAAGUUUCGGCGGUUGGGGAUGGACUCGCGGCUUAUCAGCUUGUUGGUGGGGUAGUGGCUUACCAAGGCUUUGACGGGUAGCCGGCCUGAGAGGGUGACCGGCCACAUGGGGACUGAGAUACGGCCCAGACUCUUACGGGGGGCAGCAGUGGGGAAUAUGGCACAAGGGGCGGAAGCCGGAUGCAGCAACGCCGCGUGCGGGAUGACGGCCUUCGGGUGGUAAACCGCUUUCGCCUGUGACGAAGCGUGAGUGACGGUAAUGGGUAAAGAAGCACCGGCUAACUACGU
rnacentral:rRNA from 1 species